UUCGACCUGAACUCAGUCAUGAUU
rnacentral:rRNA from 1 species